rnacentral:lncRNA from 1 species
UUGAGCCCUAUCCAUCAUGCAGAGACUUCCCUCCUGCUGUCCUUUCUGAUGGACAAUUCUGCUGAUGGGGAUAUUCAAAAAGAAGGGAUCAGGAAGAACAGAUGAUGGAUAAAGACAGUCUUCUGUCUUGAGAGGAAAUCAGAGAAAUCCUUUUAAGGAAUUUCUUUGUCGUCGUGUCAGAAGAUUAAUUAUGCUCGUGUGAGAACAGCUUUCUCAUUGGGUGAAAAGAGACAUUAUCCUUCUGACUUGUGACAGAAGAUUUUCAAAGCAAGAGAGUUAAAGAUUUCAGCUACUCCAAAAUCUUCUUAUUCUGUUGUCUUCUAAGCAUAUUCCAGAACCGUUGGAUUACAUCCAUGAUAUUGUGAUGCUCAACAAGUAAUUAAUGAAUCAGGAAUUUUUGUUUCAAGCCACUCUUCCUCCCAUUCCUUAUGCAGAUCUCUUUGGAGGCCUUAAUACCCAUUUGUGCAUCAGAUUUUAAAAUUACAUAACAAUAGUAUGAGGGAUAACUUAUUACAAGCUAAGAAUGGCACCUUUUUAUAGUAAUGCAGAGAAGGAAACCCUGUGGUGUAAUGUAAAACUUGUACAACAGAUUAAUAAAUACAGUUUUUAAUAGGGCAAAUAAUACUAUAAUCUGAAAAGGUAUCCUUACAAAAUCAACUCUAUUGUGUAAUUUAAUCUGCAUGUGAAUAAUGAUACUGUGUAAGAUAUCUCCUUUCCUUGAAACCUCUCUGAGCAUGACAAAUCAGUAUUCAGAAAAACCUUUGAAAGUUAGAGACAAAAUACACUGCAUGAAGUAAAACAAUACAAA